rnacentral:rRNA from 1 species
AACGAACGCUGGCGGCAUGCCUAACACAUGCAAGUCGAACGAUUGCCUUCGGGUGAUAGUGGCGCACGGGUGCGUAACGCGUGGGAAUCUGCCCUUAGGUUCGGAAUAACAGCUGGAAACGGCUGCUAAUACCGGAUGAUAUCGCGAGAUCAAAGAUUUAUCGCCUGAGGAUGAGCCCGCGUUGGAUUAGGUAGUUGGUGGGGUAAAGGCCUACCAAGCCGACGAUCCAUAGCUGGUCUGAGAGGAUGAUCAGCCACACUGGGACUGAGACACGGCCCAGACUCCUACGGGAGGCAGCAGUGGGGAAUAUUGGACAAUGGGCACAAGCCUGAUCCAGCAAUGCCGCGUGAGUGAUGAAGGCCCUAGGGUUGUAAAGCUCUUUUACCCGGGAAGAUAAUGACUGUACCGGGAGAAUAAGCCCCGGCUAACUCCGUG